CGCUGUGUUGACACGCUCUGCACCUUGCUCCUGCCCUCGCCUUUUACUCCUCUUAUCCCCCCGAUACCCCGAUCAUUCCUGACAGCUCCUGAGUGCCUGGAUUUCAUCAUCCAGCCCUGCAGGAUGCUCCCAUUUGUCCUGAGGGAGGCUGUCCCAGAUGGAGAGGAGGAGAUGGAGGUGGAUACAAAGAUUGAUAUGGAUGAGGAGAUGGAAAUUGACGGAGAAGACACUGGAGAGGAAGAGAUGGACUUGGAUGUGGAUGAGGAAGAGGAGAUGGAAGUGGAUAUGGAAGAGUCCAUUGAGGACAUGGACAUUGAUUGAAAAGGCUGUCCCAGACGGAGAGGAGGAGAUGGAGGUGGAUACAAAGAUUGAUAUGGAUGAGGAGAUGGAAAUUGACGGAGAAGACUCUGGAGAGGAAGAGAUGGACGUGGAUGUGGAUGAGGAAGAGGAGAUGGAUGUGGAUAUGGAAGAGUCCAUUGAGGACAUGGACAUUGAUUGAAAAGGACCAGUGGACAUCAUGGACAGGGACAUCUACAAUCAAUAAAAGGUUUUUUUCCAUUUUCUCAAGCCACGCGUUGGGUGCCACUAACUGUAUUUGUCCUGGUUUAGGGUAAGUUUGGGAGAUAACCCCCAAAGGGGCUUCUCUACAAAAGCAGAUUCAAUUGCCCCUCCCCCCUCCAACCAGUUCGGGAGAAAAUAUCUCCUUGCAGAAAAAUGGAAAGAAACCUGUUUAUUAAACAAUAGAAACCAAACAAUAUUAAGCAAAAAAACUUCUCACUGAUCCAAGGAAAGCAAACUCAGAACAGUCCCCUCCCCGGGUUGCAGCUCGGCUCACUCAGUCUCUGAUCAGUCUCUCUGGUGCUGGAAAUGCUGCUGCCCAGGCCCGGCCAGGGGCCACAGGUGGAGCUGCCGGUGCUCUUCUGGGUGUUCAGUCCAGAGCAGGCUUGAACAGGUCCAAGAAAAAAGGAAAAAAAUCACAAUCCGGAGAACUUCUUUGCCUCAGCUAGCUAAAACUAACUAAAAGCAAGAAAAAGGGAAAAAAGGAGCUCUGUCCGUCUGUCUGUCCAUCCGCAGACAACACAGUCCAGGAGCAGGAAUGUGGAGGAGUGAGAGCAGUCUGAAAACAAACUGUGCGCUUCUUUCCUGCCCUCUUCACUGUCUGGAAGAGAGUCUUAAAGGUGUAAAAAUUAUUCUUCAGUAUAAAGAGAACAAGACGACUGGGGAUUAAAGCGUCAUAUAGUCAACCCAGGACAUUCCACCCCUUAUCCCCAUAUCGUUGUGGAGGAUUUUGUGAACAGGUGGCUAGCUAACAAAGGUCACACUGACAUAAUACCGUUAGUUAGGGAUGAAGGAGACGAGGAUAGGAGUCAGCAGUCAGUGUCCAAACCUGGCAAGGGCACUGUGCCCUUGGUGCAACAUCAGGAUGGGGGAGAGGUUCGUUAGUUGGAAACAUGAAGAAAAUAUGUAAACAGCUGCAGCAUAGUAGCCUCAAGAAUGAUAAGGUAGGCGUAGUUAGCUGAUAAGUAACUAACCAAUAAUGAGCUCGCUUUUUGCAAUAUGUAUUAGCCUCAUUAACACCAAUAUAAAUGUAUGUGCCUAUCAAUAAAGUUUUGAGAUUUGCUGAUUACUCAUAUUGAGUGCCGCAUUUCUUCCGCCGAUUACCACAAAUGGUGACCCCGGACGUUAAAUCGGUAACGGCAACCACGGUGGAUCGGUGAACGAGUUCGGGUCCUACAGCAGCAAGGACGGCGAAUAAGCACUGCUGAAAAAGCGAAAAGUGCCGCGCCCUGGGUGACCUUAUAGAAGAGCCUGGCCGAUACGUGCUGCCGAGACCUUGAAGGGCUGCAAAAACGUCGACGUUCUCAAAAAUGGAAAUGGAAAUGGAAAGGUGCAAAAUCCAGAUGGAUUUCAAUGAAGAAUGUGAAACUUUAUCAAGAACAAGAGAAACGUUGACCAUUCAACAAGCAAAGAAGACAGACAGAUACUGGACUGUGUGACGCAGGGCAGUGUCCGGAGACGAGACCUUAACCUCCCUAUACAGCUGACAGUUUGGUGUGGAACUAAAUACUUACUAGGUGCACUUACUCAGCAAAACAGAAAAACAGGGGAAGUGUGGAGGAUUUUGUGAACAGGUGGCUAGCUAACAAAGGUCACACUGACAUAAUACCGUUAGUUAGGGAUGAAGGAGACGAGGAUAGGAGUCAGCAGUCAGUGUCCAAACCUGGCAAGGGCACUGUGCCCUUGGUGCAACAUCAGGAUGGGGGAGAGGUUCGUUAGUUGGAAACAUGAAGAAAAUAUGUAAACAGCUGCAGCAUAGUAGCCUCAAGAAUGAUAAGGUAGGCGUAGUUAGCUGAUAAGUAACUAACCAAUAAUGAGCUCGCUUUUUGCAAUAUGUAUUAGCCUCAUUAACACCAAUAUAAAUGUAUGUGCCUAUCAAUAAAGUUUUGAGAUUUGCUGAUUA